AAAAGCAAAUCCGUUCUCCUCCAUGCUAGAGCGAGGGUCACAUGCCACUGUCCUUAUCAAUAAUGCAAUCUGGGUCAUAGGGGGAUAUUCCUUCACAGAAAAGCCUUUUGUUUUUAAAAUACAAUAUUACAGAAGACACUUGGAGAGCUUUAGAGAGUCGAAGCAUAAAAAAACCAGCCUCCAGAUAUGGGCAUUCUGCAGUGGUGUAUAAUGGAUCGAUAUACAUGUAUGGAGGCAUGAAGGAGGACGGAACCAUCACACGAGAGUUCUGGCAGCUUGACACUUCCUCUCUGGCCUGGUCGCUGGUCCCCAUGGAAAAGAGUUCCAGAGGAGG